rnacentral:rRNA from 1 species
GUGGUUUGUCGCGUUGUUCGUGAAAUCUCACGGCUUAACCGUGAGCGUGCGAGCGAUACGGGCAGACUAGAGUACUGCAGGGGAGACUGGAAUUCCUGGUGUAGCGGUGGAAUGCGCAGAUAUCAGGAGGAACACCGGUGGCGAAGGCGGGUCUCUGGGCAGUAACUGACGCUGAGGAGCGAAAGCGUGGGGAGCGAACAGGAUUAGAAUAGCCCUGGUAGUCCACGCCGUAAACGGCGGGUACUAGGUGUGGGUUUCCUUCCUUGGGAUCCGUGCCGUAGCUAACGCAUUAAGUACCCCGCUUGGGGAGUACGACCGCAAGGCUAAAACUCAAAGGAAUCGACGGGGGCCCGCACAAGCGGCGGAGCAUGUGGAUUAAUUCGAUGCAACGCGAAGAACCUUACCUGGGUUUGACAUGCACAGAACGCGUCUAGAGAUAGGCGUUCCCUUGUGGCCUGUGUGCAGGUGGUGCAUGGCUGUCGUCAGCUCGUGUCGUGAGAUGUUGGGUUAAGUCCCGCAACGAGCGCAACCUUUGUCUCAUGUUGCCAGCGGGUAAUGCCGGGGACUCGUGAGAAACUGCCGGGGUCAACUCGGAGGAAGGUGGGGAUGACGUCAAGUCAUCAUGCCCCUUAUGUCCAGGGCUUCACACAUGCUACAAUGGCCGGUACAAAGGGCUGCGAUGCCGCAAGGUUAAGCGAAUCCUUUUAAAGCCGGUCUCAGUUCGGAUCGGGGUCUGCAACUCGACCCCGUGAAGUCGGAGUCG